rnacentral:rRNA from 1 species
CUUGGUCAUUUAGAGGAAGUAAAAGUCGUAACAAGGUUUCCGUAGGUGAACCUGCGGAAGGAUCACUAGUGAUUAAAUCGAGCGUGUCUUCAUUGACCGCUCACCCCUUCUCACCAUCCACAUACACCUGUGCACUGUUUAGCCUGAGCCGGUUUUCCGGUCCAGGUUAUCAUUUCAUACAAACUCUAGUCUUAUGAAUGUAAACGUUUUAAUAACAUAAUAAAACUUUCAACAACGGAUCUCUUGGUUCUCGCAUCGAUGAAGAACGCAGCGAAAUGCGAUAAGUAAUGUGAAUUGCAGAAUUCAGUGAAUCAUCGAAUCUUUGAACGCACCUUGCGCUCCUUGGUAUUCCGAGGAGCAUGCCUGUUUGAGUGUCAUGAAACUCUCACCCUCUAGCUUUCUUAAUCGUGGCUAGCGGCGUGGACGUGAGCGCUGCUGCUUUGUUGCGGCUCGCUCGAAAUGCAUUAGCAGACCCUUUUCGUAAUCGGUUCCACUCAACGUGAUAAGUAUUUCGUUGAGGACAGUUGCAGCAAUGCGGCUGGCCGGGAUAAGAAAGGCAUAGUUGUCAGCUUCUAAUCGCCCUUGGGCAAUUUUUUAUGAUCUGGCCUCAAAUCAGGUAGGACUACCCGCUGAACUUAAGCAUAUCAAUAAGCGGAGGA